rnacentral:rRNA from 1 species
CGGGUGAGUAACGCGUAGGUAACCUGCCCCAUACAGAGGGAUAGCCACUGGAAACGGUGAUUAAUACCUCAUAAAACUGAGAAUACACAUGUAUGCUCAGCCAAAGAUUUAUCGGUAUGGGAUGGACCUGCGUCUGAUUAGUUAGUUGGUGAGGUAACGGCUCACCAAGGCGACGAUCAGUAGCCGACCUGAGAGGGUGAUCGGCCACAUUGGAACUGAGACACGGUCCAAACUCCUACGGAAGGCAGCAG